rnacentral:rRNA from 1 species
AUUGAACGCUGGCGGCAGGCCUAACACAUGCAAGUCGAGCGGAUGAAGGGAGCUUGCUCCUGGAUUCAGCGGCGGACGGGUGAGUAAUGCCUAGGAAUCUGCCUGGUAGUGGGGGAUAACGUCCGGAAACGGGCGCUAAUACCGCAUACGUCCUGAGGGUGAAAGUGGGGGAUCUUCGGACCUCACGCUAUCAGAUGAGCCUAGGUCGGAUUAGCUAGUUGGUGGGGUAAAGGCCUACCAAGGCGACGAUCCGUAACUGGUCUGAGAGGAUGAUCAGGCACACUGGAACUGAGACACGGUCCAGACUCCUACGGGAGGCAGCAGUGGGGAAUAUUGGACAAUGGGCGAAAGCCUGAUCCAGCCAUGCCGCGUGUGUGAAGAAGGUCUUCGGAUUGUAAAGCACUUUAAGUUGGGAGGAAGGGCAGUAAGUUAAUACCUUGCUGUUUUGACGUUACCAACAGAAUAAGCACCGGCUAACUUCGUG